UUAAUUAGUGAGUAGGGCGGCAUUAAACCUGCCCGAAUAUGGGGGUACCAUCCUCCAAGGCUAAGUAUAAUACAUUCAGCGAUAGUGAAGAGUACCGUGAGGGAAAGAUUAAAAGCAAGUCGAUGACUGGUGAAAUAGAGCCUGAAUUAGCAAUCCUAUAAGCAGACAGAGUCUUAACUGAUAAUGUCGUACCUUUUGCAUAAUGGGUCAGCAACUUAAUGUUACAGGCGAGAUGAAUAGUCCUAGCGAAAGCGACUAUCUUGCGAGAUGGGUUAAGUCUGUAGUAUUAGACCCGAAACGCCGUGAUCUAGCCAUGAGCAGGGAUAUAGGCCCGAACAAAUAUACGUUGCAUAGUGUUUUGAUGACUUGUGGUUAGGAGUGAAAUGCUAAUCUAACGGCGUUAUAGCUGGUUCUCUGCGAAAUGCAUUGCAGUGCAGCGUCAGCGUAGUAGCAUAUGGUAGGUACAGCACUGAUUGACAUGCUUGAUUUAUCAAGUCGACUAGGGGGAUGUGAAAGUCCUAUCUAGGUCAGUUAACCUCGGAAUGAUCAUAUGUUUAGCUGGCAGUGAGUCGUAAGGUGAUAAGGUCUCGCGACGAGAGGGAAACAGCCCAAACAAUGUGUUAAAGUCCCAAAGAUAUUAGCAAGUG
rnacentral:rRNA from 1 species